GAUGAACGCUGGCGGCGUGCCUAAUACAUGCAAGUCGAGCGAACAGAUGAGGAGCUUGCUCCUCUGACGUUAGCGGCGGACGGGUGAGUAACACGUGGAUAACCUACCUAUAAGACUGGGAUAACUUCGGGAAACCGGAGCUAAUACCGGAUAAUAUAUUGAACCGCAUGGUUCAAUAGUGAAAGACGGUUUUGCUGUCACUUAUAGAUGGAUCCGCGCCGCAUUAGCUAGUUGGUAAGGUAACGGCUAACCAAGGCAACGAUGCGUAGCCGACCUGAGAGGGUGAUCGGCCACACUGGAACUGAGACACGGUCCAGACUCCUACGGGAGGCAGCAGUAGGGAAUCUUCCGCAAUGGGCGAAAGCCUGACCGAGCAACGCCGCGUGAGUGAUGAAGGUCUUCGGAUCGUAAAGCUCUGUUAUUAGGGAAGAACAACUGUGUAAGUAACUAUGCCCGUCUUGACGGUACCUAAUCAGAAAGCCCCGGCUAACUACGUG
rnacentral:rRNA from 1 species